AGAGAGUAAAUUUUAGGAGUUGUGCACUUGUGCUUGCGGUUUUACUUUAGUUUUAUCCGCUCUCUAUUCUAAUUCCUAAAACCCUAAUCCCACUCUGCCGUCUUUUCUUCUUUCUCAGAGAAAAAAGCGUCACCAAAUACUGAGGAAUUGGAGAUGGAGAAAGAUGAGAAUACUGAGGAGACGAAAAAGAAGAAACUUGGUAGUGAUAUUGGAAUAAUGAGUGAUCAGUCAUUCUUUUCUCUUCCUAUUUCUGAGCCUACUAAAAAUGCUAUUAAGGAUAUUGGGUUUUCCAAUAUGACUCAGAUUCAAGCCAGAACUAUAUCUCCUCUCCUGGAAGGUAAAGAUGUGCUUGGAGCUGCGCGGACUGGUUCUGGUAAGACCCUCGCGUUUCUAGUUCCAGCUGUCGAGUUGCUGUAUCAGGUUCGCUUCACUCCUCGUAAUGGAGUGGGUGUUAUCAUUAUUUGCCCAACGAGGGAGCUUGCUAUACAGACCCAUACAGUUGCCGAACACCUUCUCAAGCAUCAUUCCCAAACCCUUGGCUUGGUAAUGGGUGGUGCAAACCGCAGGGGAGAAGCAGAACGUCUCGCCAAAGGUGUCAAUCUUUUAGUAGCCACUCCUGGACGGCUUCUUGACCAUCUUCAAAAUACUAAGAGAUUUGUGUACAAGAACUUAAAGUGCCUGAUAAUUGAUGAAGCUGAUAGGAUUUUGGAGGCAAAUUUUGAAGAAGAAAUGCGGCAGAUUAUAAAGAUUCUCCCAAAGGAGAGACAAACAGCUCUUUUUUCAGCCACACAGACAAAGAAGGUGGAAGAUCUUGCACGCUUGUCAUUUCAAUCUACACCUAUCUACGUUGAUGUGGAUGAGGGUAGGAGAAAGGUUACCAAUGAAGGACUGCAGCAGGGCUAUUGUGUUAUUCCUAGUGCAAAGAGGUUUUUGCUUCUUUAUUCUUUCCUGAAAAGGAAUCUGUCGAAAAAGGUUAUGGUUUUCUUUUCUUCCUGUAACUCAGUAAAGUUCCAUUCAGAACUUCUGAGAUACAUUCAGAUAGACUGCUUUGAUAUCUAUGGGAAGCAAAAGCAGGCUAAGAGGACUACUACAUUUUUUGAAUUUAUUGAAGCCAAAAAAGGAAUACUUUUAUGCACUGAUGUUGCUGCUCGUGGUCUUGAUAUUCCUGCUGUGGAUUGGAUUGUCCAGUAUGAUCCUCCUGAUGAUCCAAAGGAAUAUAUCCAUAGGGUUGGGCGAACAGCUCGUGGUGAAGGUGCCAAAGGAAAUGCUCUGCUCUUUCUAAUUCCUGAAGAGUUGCGGUUCCUUGCUUAUUUAAAGAGUGAGAAGGUUCCUGUGAAAGAAUAUGAGUUUGAUGAAAGGAAACUAGCAAAUGUGCAGUCUCAUCUGGAGAAAUUGGUAGCAAAUAAUUACUACUUGAACAAGUCAGCUAAAGAAGCUUAUAGGGCUUAUAUAUUGGCAUAUAACUCGCAUUCCAUGAAGGAUGUGUUCAAUGCUCAUCAACUUGAUCUGCAGGCAGUGGCUGCUUCGUUUUGCUUUUCUUGCCCUCCGAGUGUAGACCUGAAACUCGAUAGCAGUGCCUCGAAGUUCAGGAAGAAGAUGCGUAAAGUAGAAGGCAGGUUCAAUGAGAGCAACCCAUAUGGGAGGCAAAGUAAAGAUGAUACUAGGCAAUUUGUUAGGAACCAUUUGUUGAAUGGAAAAGAUGCAAUUAUAAUCUGUCCAAGUAUUCAUACGAGAUAUUGAGUAGUGUUCCAUAUCAUGUCAAACUAAGUGCUAAAGGGUUUCGUUCUUUAAUAUAUAGUGGAGAUCAUGACAUCAUAGUUCCAUUCCUGGGUACCCAAGCAUGGAUAAGAUAUUCGAUUGUAGAUGAUUGGCGAAGAUGGGUUGUUGAUAACCAAGUGGCAGGGGUGAUGUGAAAGCAAUGCUGCUGAGUUCUAUCCUAUUGAUCAGAUGGCAUGCACAUAACAAACAUUCUCCCCAAAAUUUUUCUGGAAUAUUGGAUUGGAAAUAUAAGCUCCUGGCAGUCUCCAACAAGUGUCUAUGCUUUCUCUCAGCUACUCCAUUUUGUUGGGGAGUUUCAACACAGGUUCUUUGGUGUAAAAUACCAUUUUUUAAGUAGAAUUUUAACAUAUCACCUUCACAUAAUUCCUUGGCAUUGUCUGAUCUAAUGGUGCCAAUAUGCACAUUGAAAUGAUUCUGUACAAAAACAGCAAAGUUAUUAAUAAUAACAACCACAUCCUUUUUGUGUUUGAGUAGAAAAAUCCAAGUGUGCCUUGAGUAAUCAUCCACAAUUGUUAGGAACAUACUGCAUUUAUCAUGUGUUAAAACCUUAAAUGGUCCCCAUACAUCAAUGUGUAGCAACUCAAAACAUCUAGUGGACUUUAUUGCACUGAUAGGAAAAGGUUUUCUAGUUUGUCUUGCCUUAGGGCAUAUAUGACAUAUGACUUCCUUUUUCAAAGAGACAUUAUUAAAGCUACUAUUUACAAACUGCAUCUUUGAGAAAGGUAUGUGACCCAAUCUUAAAUGCCAAAGCUUGAAGUCUUCAAUUGAUUCUGCUGUGCAAGAAAUCAGUCUUGUUUCCUUUGUUUCAUUUGUAUUGACAGCAUAUAAGCCAUUGUGUAUUUCACCAAGAACAAGGAAAUUCUUCUGAAAAUGAUCCUGUAGUAAACACUUGUCAUGAGUGAAUACUACUUUGCAUUUCAUGUCUUUGCAUAACUUGUGUGUGGAUAUUAAGUUGUAUUUAAAAUCAGGUACAUGUUUAACAUCUUUGAGCAGAAUUCCAUUAUCCAAUUUAACUUCUCCUAUAUGCUCAAUUUUGGCUUUCUUACCA